CUCCAAAGAACAAUGUCACAAAGUUUUAUUCUUGCAUAUCAUUUUGCUUCAUUUUAUAAAUAAUGUGUUUUCUUAUGAAUUUCAUGUGAGUUUUAUGAUCUUACAAUGCAUAUGUAUCACUUGUACUGUGAGAUUCAGAUCAACUCAAAAGCCCUAUUCGGACGGUAAAUGUUUCUCCUGACACCUUGAGAUUGAAAUAACAUGAUAAUAGAUGAUGGACUCAUGAAGCAGUGGAAGUUCAUUCAUCAUUUCUGUGAUGUGAAGC